rnacentral:lncRNA from 1 species
UCUUGGUUAAGAUUAAAGUUUGAAAAGCCUUCUGAUAUCUCUUAUUCUUCCAGGAAAUUUUUGAUGGAAUGAGCCUUAAAAAUCUCUCCUAUAUUUAUCCUUAUUUCCAGCAGUAUUAAUGUUUAUUUAAUCCAUUCAUUUAUUAAAAUAGUUUGUUUUUAAUUAAUAAGCUGUACUGUGGCUUCAUAGAACACAGCCAAAAUCUUUAAUCUGCUUUAAUGUGAGUGGGCAUGUUGAAAUCUAAUAACAGAAGUCUUGAACUUUGCCUUUAAGAAAUUCUAGUGGAAUAAUUAUAAGCUAACAAAUUAUAUUCCCUAGAUUAACACUGGGAUCCGAAGAUUUACCACAAUAUCUCUUCUAAGUGGUCAUUGUUGUAUUCCUUGUUCCUUUCUAAUUUAGGCUAAGCAUGGCAGAUUAAGUGCUAAAGUGUCUCUAAUAAUGAAAUUAAAAGAUUGUGUAUCUAGUAAGAUGCCUUGGUCAAAAGUAUAUGACUAAACAAAAGGCAGUCAGGACCCUAAUAAUUCUUUUCCAGAUGUAAAUUUUCAAGU